CCUGGUUGAUCCUGCCAGUAGUCAUAUGCUUGUCUCAAAGAUUAAGCCAUGCAUGUCUAAGUACAUACUUUUGCACGGUGAAACCGCGAAUGGCUCAUUAAAUCAGUUAUGGUUCCUUAGAUCGUUCAUACUACAUGGAUAACUGUGGUAAUUCUAGAGCUAAUACAUGCAAAAAGCUCCGACCGUAUGGGAAGAGCGCUUUUAUUAGACCAAAACCAAUGGGGUUUCACGACUCCUUUGACUGGUGACUCUGGAUAACUUUAUGCUGAUCGCAUGGCCUUGAGCCGGCGACGUAUCUUUCAAAUGUCUGACCUAUCAACUUUCGAUGGUAAGCGAUUUGCCUACCAUGGUUGUAACGGGUAACGGGGAAUCAGGGUUCGAUUCCGGAGAGGGAGCAUGAGAAAUGGCUACCACAUCUACGGAAGGCAGCAGGCGCGCAAAUUACCCACUCCUAGAUCGGGGAGGUAGUGACGAAAAAUAACAAUACCGGACUCACUGAGGCUCGGUAAUUGAAAUGAGUACAGUUUAAAACCUUUAACGAGGAUCUAUUGGAGGGCAAGUCUGGUGCCAGCAGCCGCGGUAAUUCCAGCUCCAAUAGCGUAUAUUAAAGUUGUUGCAGUUAAAAAGCUCGUAGUUGGAUCUCGGGUGCCAGCUUGUGGUACGCUUUACUGCUGUUACUGCAUGUCUGGCCCUAAUUAACCGGUUGGCCGUUUAUGCCCUUUACUGGGUGUUUUCGGUAGCCGGUACGUUUACUUUGAGAAAAUUAGAGUGCUUAAAGCAGGCCUUACGCCUGAAUAAUGUUGCAUGGAAUAAUAGAAUAGGACCUCGGUUCUAUUUUGUUGGUUUUGUAGAGCAUUGAGGUAAUGAUUAAUAGGGACAGACGGGGGCAUUCGUAUUGCGGUGUUAGAGGUGAAAUUCUUGGAUCGCCGCAAGACGAACAACUGCGAAAGCAUUUGCCAAGAAUGUUUUCAUUAAUCAAGAACGAAAGUUGGAGGUUCGAAGACGAUUAGAUACCGUCCUAGUUCCAACUGUAAACGAUGCCAACUAACAAUCCGUCGCACUUACUUAAACGAGUCGGCGGGCGGUUUCCGGGAAACCAAAGUCUUUGGGUUCCGGGGGAAGUAUGGUUGCAAAGCUGAAACUUAAAGGAAUUGACGGAAGGGCACCACCAGGAGUGGAGCCUGCGGCUUAAUUUGACUCAACACGGGAAUGUAUCGUGACUGGGAAAC
rnacentral:rRNA from 1 species